rnacentral:rRNA from 1 species
GAUGAACGCUGGCGGCGUGCCUAAUACAUGCAAGUCGAGCGAACAGACGAGGAGCUUGCUCCUCUGACGUUAGCGGCGGACGGGUGAGUAACACGUGGAUAACCUACCUAUAAGACUGGGAUAACUUCGGGAAACCGGAGCUAAUACCGGAUAAUAUAUUGAACCGCAUGGUUCAAUAGUGAAAGACGGUUUUGCUGUCACUUAUAGAUGGAUCCGCGCCGCAUUAGCUAGUUGGUAAGGUAACGGCUUACCAAGGCAACGAUGCGUAGCCGACCUGAGAGGGUGAUAGGCCACACUGGAACUGAGCCACGGUCCAGAGUCCUACGGGAGGCAGCAGUAGGGAAUCUGCCGCAAUGGGCGAAAGCCUGACGGAGCAACGCCGCGUGAGUGAUGAAGGUCUUCGGAUCGUAAAACUCUGUUAUUAGGGAAGAACAAAUGUGUAAGUAACUAUGCACGUCUUGACGGUACCUAAUCAGAAAGCCACGGCUAACUACGUG